GACGAACGCUGGCGGCGUGCCUAAUACAUGCAAGUAGAACGCUGAAGAGAGGAGCUUGCUCUUCUUGGAUGAGUUGCGAACGGGUGAGUAACGCGUAGGUAACCUGCCUUGUAGCGGGGGAUAACUAUUGGAAACGAUAGCUAAUACCGCAUAACAAUGGAUGACACAUGUCAUUUAUUUGAAAGGGGCAAUUGCUCCACUACAAGAUGGACCUGCGUUGUAUUAGCUAGUAGGUGAGGUAAUGGCUCACCUAGGCGACGAUACAUAGCCGACCUGAGAGGGUGAUCGGCCACACUGGGACUGAGACACGGCCCAGACUCCUACGGGAGGCAGCAGUAGGGAAUCUUCGGCAAUGGGGGCAACCCUGACCGAGCAACGCCGCGUGAGUGAAGAAGGUUUUCGGAUCGUAAAGCUCUGUUGUAAGUCAAGAACGGGUGUGAGAGUGGAAAGUUCACACUGUGACGGUAGCUUACCAGAAAGGGACGGCUAACUACGUGCCAGCAGCCGCGGUAAUACGUAGGUCCCGAGCGUUGUCCGGAUUUAUUGGGCGUAAAGCGAGCGCAGGCGGUUUGAUAAGUCUGAAGUUAAAGGCUGUGGCUCAACCAUAGUUCGCUUUGGAAACUGUCAAACUUGAGUGCAGAAGGGGAGAGUGGAAUUCCAUGUGUAGCGGUGAAAUGCGUAGAUAUAUGGAGGAACACCGGUGGCGAAAGCGGCUCUCUGGUCUGUAACUGACGCUGAGGCUCGAAAGCGUGGGGAGCGAACAGGAUUAGAUACCCUGGUAGUCCACGCCGUAAACGAUGAGUGCUAGGUGUUGGAUCCUUUCCGGGAUUCAGUGCCGCAGCUAACGCAUUAAGCACUCCGCCUGGGGAGUACGACCGCAAGGUUGAAACUCAAAGGAAUUGACGGGGGCCCGCACAAGCGGUGGAGCAUGUGGUUUAAUUCGAAGCAACGCGAAGAAUCUUACCAGGUCUUGACAUCCCGAUGCUAUUUCUAGAGAUAGAAAGUUACUUCGGUACAUCGGUGACAGGUGGUGCAUGGUUGUCGUCAGCUCGUGUCGUGAGAUGUUGGGUUAAGUCCCGCAACGAGCGCAACCCCUAUUGUUAGUUGCCAUCAUUCAGUUGGGCACUCUAGCGAGACUGCCGGUAAUAAACCGGAGGAAGGUGGGGAUGACGUCAAAUCAUCAUGCCCCUUAUGACCUGGGCUACACACGUGCUACAAUGGAUGGUACAACGAGUCGCGAGACAGUGAUGUUUAGCUAAUCUCUUAAAACCAUUCUCAGUUCGGAUUGUAGGCUGCAACUCGCCUACAUGAAGUCGGAAUCGCUAGUAAUCGCGGAUCAGCACGCCGCGGUGAAUACGUUCCCGGGCCUUGUACACACCGCCCGUCACACCACGGGAGUUGGGAGUACCCGAAGUAGGUUGCCUAACCGCAAGGAGGGCGCUUCCUAAGGUAAGACCGAUGACUGGGGUGAAGU
rnacentral:rRNA from 1 species